rnacentral:rRNA from 1 species
UACGUAGGGGGCGAGCGUUGUCCGAAGUUACUGGGCGUAAAGCGCGCGUAGGCGGUCAUUUAAGUCUGAGGUGAAAAGGUUCAGCGCUCAACGUGAACAGUGCCUUGGAUACUGGGUGACUUGAGUUCGGGAGGGGGCAGUGGAAUUCCAGGUGUAGCGGUGAAAUGCGUAGAUAUCUGGAGGAACACCGAUGGCGAAGGCAGCUGCCUGGCCCAGAACUGACGCUGAGGUGCGAAAGCGUGGGAGCGAACGGG